rnacentral:rRNA from 1 species
GACGAACGCUGGCGGCGUGCCUAAUACAUGCAAGUCGAACGCCGUGUGGACGGGUGAGUAACACGUGCGUAAACUCCCAUCAGAGGGGAUAACACUUGGAAACAGGUGCUAAAACGAAACUGAUGGAUGGACCCGCGGUGCAUUAGCCAGUUGGGGAGGUAACUGCUCACCCAGGCCACGAUGCAUAGCCGACCUGAGAGGGGGUUCGGGCACACUGGGAGUGAGACACGGCCCAGACUCCUACGGGAGGCAGCAGUAGGGAAUCUUCGACAAUGGACGAAAGUCUGACCGAGCAACGCCGCGUGAGUGAAGAAGGUUUUCGGAUCGUAAAACUCUGUUGUUAGAGAAGCGGUAUCUAACCAGAAAGCCACGGCUAACUACGUGCCAGCAGCCGCGGUAAUUC